rnacentral:rRNA from 1 species
UGGGGAAUUUUGCGCAAUGGGGGAAACCCUGACGCAGCAACGCCGCGUGGAGGAUGAAAUAUCUUGGUAUGUAAACUCCUUUCGAUGGGGAAGAUUAUGACGGUACCCAUAGAAGAAGCCCCGGCUAACUUCGUGCCAGCAGCCGCGGUAAUACGAGGGGGGCAAGCGUUGUUCGGAUUUAUUGGGCGUAAAGGGUGCGUAGGCGGUUUGGCAAGUCUGAUGUGAAAUCUAUGGGCUCAACCCAUAGUCUGCAUCAGAAACUGCCGGGCUUGAGUAUGGGAGAGGUGAGUGGAAUUUCCGGUGUAGCGGUGAAAUGCGUAGAUAUCGGAAGGAACACCUGUGGCGAAAGCGGCUCACUGGACCAUAACUGACGCUGAUGCACGAAAGCUAGGGGAGCAAACAG